rnacentral:rRNA from 1 species
AUGGUAGGAUAGAGGCCUACCAUGGUGGUAACGGGUAACGGGGUGUUAGGGCACGACACCGGAGAGGGAGCCUGAGAAACGGCUACCACAUCCAAGGAUGGCAGCAGGCGCGCAAAUUACCCAAUCCCGGCACGGGGAGGUAGUGACAAUAAAUAACAAUACGGGGUUCUUUAGGAUCUCGUAAUUGGAAUGAGUACAAUUUAAAUCUCUUAACGAGGAACAAUUGGAGGGCAAGUCUGGUGCCAGCAGCCGCGGUAAUUCCAGCUCCAAUAGCGUAUAUUAAAGUUGUUGCAGUUAAAAAGCUCGUAGUUGAAUUUCGGGGUCAGUAGGUCGGUCGUGCCACUGGUAUGAACUGGUUUUACUGAUUCCUCCCUCUUGAAGAACUGUAAUGCCAUUAAUUUGGUGUUGCAGGGAAUCAGGACUGUUACUUUGAAAAAAUUAGAGUGUUUAAAGCAGGCUUUAGCUUGAAUACAUUAGCAUGGAAUAAUGAAAUAGGACGUUUGAUCCUAUUUUGUUGGUUUCUAGGAUUGACGUAAUGAUUAAUAGGGAUAGUUGGGGGCAUUAGUAUUCAAUUGUCAGAGGUGAAAUUCUUGGAUUUAUUGAAGACUAACUACUGCGAAAGCAUUUGCCAAGGAUGUUUUCAUUAAUCAAGAACGAAAGUUAGGGGAUCGAAGACGAUCAGAUACCGUCGUAGUCUUAACCAUAAACUAUGCCGACUAGGGAUCGGAUGAUGUUAAUUUUUUAAUGACUCAUUCGGCGCCUUACGGGAAACCAAAGUGUUUGGG